CUCCAGAUGACGAGUCCAAAAUAGGACGAAACGCGCGUCCUGGAU
rnacentral:hammerhead_ribozyme from 1 species